UACGUAGGGAGCAAGCGUUGUCCGGAAUCAUUGGGCGUAAAGCGCGUGUAGGUGGCCAAGUAGGUCCGCUGUGAAAACUUGAGGCUCAACCUCAAGCUGUCGGUGGAAACCCCUUGGCUAGAGUCCGGAAGAGGAGAGUGGAAUUCCUGGUGUAGCGGUGAAAUGCGCAGAUAUCAGGAAGAACACCAAUGGCGAAGGCAGCUCUCUGGGACGGUACUGACACUGAGACGCGAAAGCGUGGGGGAGCCGAACAGGAU
rnacentral:rRNA from 1 species